rnacentral:misc_RNA from 1 species
UCGUCUAUAAGACAGGUUAAUGAGUCAUCACGUGUACAUCCAGUUUCAUAUCUAUGUCUGAAAUGUGGAAUAAUCCAUUUUUAAGGAAGCUAUCAUAAAGAAGGGUGUUGGACAUUCAAUUCUACAGGAUUUGGAAAUGCAUCCUUAGAAGCAUAAGCAAUUUCAUAUGCCAAUUCCAUCUAAACCUAAUCAUCUUUCACACACUCAUAUUCCAAGUUCGUUCCUUUUUUUUUUUUUUG